rnacentral:rRNA from 1 species
UACGUAGGUGGCAAGCGUUGUCCGGAAUUAUUGGGCGUAAAGCGCGCGCAGGCGGUUUCUUAAGUCUGAUGUGAAAGCCCCCGGCUUAACCGGGGAGGGUCAUUGGAAACUGGGAGACUUGAGUGCAGAAGAGGAAAGUGGAAUUCCAAGUGUAGCGGUGAAAUGCGUAGAGAUUUGGAGGAACACCAGUGGCGAAGGCGACUUUCUGGUCUGUAACUGACGCUGAGGCGCGAAAGCGUGGGGAGCAAACAGG